rnacentral:rRNA from 1 species
CCCUACGGGGUGCCCGGUGGAAUGGGUGCAGCCACAGCCCUCCCUCUCGGAAUAGCCCAUCUCCUGGAAGACAGCGGAGCCAGCGGCAUGGACCUCCUCUCCUGAUAUGCCGCUUCGAAUGGCACCGAUCCCUGCCUCCUGGGCGGCAAGAACGGCAUGGUAGAGCUCUUUUACCUCCCCAGGGGCCUCUCCUCGAAGGACGGUGCGAGUCAUAUCUGCGUAGUAGCGGUGCGUCUUGGACCGGGGAUAGAUGUCGAUUACAAUGGGGGAAUUGGCGGGAGAGC